rnacentral:tRNA from 1 species
GGGGUUGUGGCUUAGUGGUAGAGCGCUCGCCUAGCACGUGUGAGGCCCUGGGUUCAGUUCCUCAGCACCA